rnacentral:rRNA from 1 species
UACGAAGGGGGCGAGCGUUGUUCGGAAUUACUGGGCGUAAAGGGCGCGUAGGCGGCGACUCUAGUCAGAUGUGAAAGUCCUGGGCUUAACCUGGGGACUGCAUUUGAUACUGGGUUGCUUGAAUUCGGGAGAGGAUAGCGGAAUUCCCAGUGUAGAGGUGAAAUUCGUAGAUAUCUGGAGGAACACCGGUGGCGAAGGCGGCAUCCUGGACCGACACUGACACUGAGGAGCGAAAGCCAGGGGAGCAAACGGG